GAUGAACGCUGGCGGCGUGCCUAAUACAUGCAAGUCGAGCGAACAGACGAGGAGCUUGCUCCUCUGACGUUAGCGGCGGACGGGUGAGUAACACGUGGAUAACCUACCUAUAAGACUGGGAUAACUUCGGGAAACCGGAGCUAAUACCGGAUAAUAUAUUGAACCGCAUGGUUCAAUGGUGCAACACGGUUUUGCUGUCACUUAUAGACGGUUCCGCGCCGCAUUAGCUAGUUGGUAAGGUAACGGCUUACCAAGGCAACGAUGCGUAGCCGACCUGAGAGGGUGAUCGGCCACACUGGAACUGAGACACGGUCCAGACUCCUACGGGAGGCAGCAGUAGGGAAUCUUCCGCAAUGGGCGAAAGCCUGACGGAGCAACGCCGCGUGAGUGAUGAAGGUCUUCGGAUCGUAAAACUCUGUUAUUAGGGAAGAACAAAUGUGUAAGUAACUAUGCACGUCUUGACGGUACCUAAUCAGAAAGCCACGGCUAACUACGUG
rnacentral:rRNA from 1 species